rnacentral:rRNA from 1 species
UGGCGACCGGCGCACGGGUGAGUAACGCGUAUCCAACCUGCCCUUUACUAUGGGACAGCUCGUCGAAAGGCGGAUUAAUACCGUAUGUUGUCAUGUUGAUGCAUAUUUUCAUGACCAAAGGCUUCGGCCGGUAAAGGAUGGGGAUGCGUCUGAUUAGCUUGCCGGCGGGGUAACGGCCCACCGGGGCGACGAUCAGUAGGGGUUCUGAGAGGAAGGUCCCCCACAUUGGAACUGAGACACGGUCCAAACUCCUACGGGAGGCAGCAG